GGGCAGGCCAACAUGCCAGUCGAGCGAAGAGCUGAUGACAGAUACUUCUGGUUGAAGGAGUCAGUGGAAAGCGGCGGCCUUGUGAGUAACGCGUAGGCAACCUGCCCUUUGCACAGGGAUAUCCAUUGGAAACGAUGAUUAAAACCUGAUAACACCAUUUGGUUACAUGAGCAGAUGGUCAAAGAUUUAUCGGCAGAGGAUGGGCCUGCGUCUGAUUAGCUAGUUGGUAAGGUAACGGCUUACCAAGGCGACGAUCAGUAGCCGACCUGAGAGGGUGAACGGCCACAUUGGAACCGAGACACGGUCCAAACUCCUACGGGAGGCAGCAGUGGGGAAUAUUGCACAAUGGGCGAAAGCCUGAUGCAGCAACGCCGCGUGAAGGAAGAAGGCCUUCGGGUCGUAAACUUCUGUCCUUGGGGAAGAAGAACUGACGGUACCCAAGGAGGAAGCCCCGGCUAACUACGUGCCAGCAGCCGCGGUAAUACGUAGGGGGCAAGCGUUAUCCGGAAUUAUUGGGCGUAGAGAGUACGUAGGUGGCAACCUAAGCGCAGGGUUUAAGGCAAUGGCUCAACCAUUGUUCGCCCUGCGAACUGGGAUGCUUGAGUGCAGGAGAGCAAAGCGGAAUUCCUAGUGUAGCGGUCCAAUGCGUAGAUAUUAUGGGGAACACCAGUGGCGAAGGCGGCUUUCUGGACUGUAACUGACACUGAGGUACGAAAGCGUGGGGAAGCAACAGGAUUAGAUACCCUGGUA
rnacentral:rRNA from 1 species